GCCGGGGCAGGGGGCGUCCCGGGUCACCCGGCGGCCCGGAUCGGCCCGUGACGCCCUCACCCCACCCCUCGGCGGGCCGCAAACGUCCAGAGAGCGCCCCCUCCCCAAGCCCCGACCUGAGCGGGGCGCUAGAAGCCGGGAGGACAAAUCAGACGAAACAGUGUUGACAUGAGACAGAUCAGAUGGCCAGCCUCCCUGGUGACCAGAUUCCAGGACAGCAAGCAUCCCGGCCAGACCCCAGCAAAGCUUGAGUGAUCCAGUUUCUCCGCAUCCCUACCAGCAUUUCGUCUUGUCCCUGUGUUUUAUUUUUGCCAUGCUGAUAGAAAGCUUUGGUAGUUCCUAAGAUGCCGGUCUUUGCAGCACUAUUCACAAUAGCAAAGACAUGGAGUAACCUAAAUGCCCAUCAAUGAUAGACUGGAUAAAGAAAAUGCGGUGCCAGGUGUGGUGGCUCGCGCCUGUAAUCCCAGCACUUCAGGAGGCAGAGGCGGACGGUUCACCUGAGGUUGGAAGUUCGAGACCAGCCUGACCAACAUGGAGAAACCCUAUCUCUACUAAAAAUACAAAAUUACCCAGGAACAUGGAUGGAGCUGGAGGCCAUCAUCCUUAGCAAACUAAUGCAGGAACAGAAAACCAAAUACCACAUGUUCUCACUUAUGAGUGGGAGCUAAAUGAUGAGCACUCAUGGAUGCAGAGAGGGGAGCAACAGACACUGGGGCCUACUUGAGGGUGGAGGUGGGAGCAGGAAGCAGGUCAGAAGAGGUAACUAUUGCAUGUGUACUAGGCUUUGUACUUGAGUGACAAAAUAAUCUGUACAACAAACCCCCAUGACAUGAAUUUACCUAUGUAACAAACCUGCACAUGUACCCUUGAACCUAAAAUAAAAGUUUG